AUACUUAUCGCUUCCGAUACGAUAGUCGAUUAAUGUUGCAUAUCGAAAAAAAAAAUGAUAAAUUAAUGAACAAAACUAUUUUUUCACGGUUCAAAUCAAACUGAUUGUUUCAUAUGUAGUUAACGUUCACGUGCGCUUUAUUUUGAUUCGCGUUGUUUCAAUUUAAAUUGAUGAUAACGACCGUUUACACUUAAUCAUCGUUCGAGAAGUUGUACUCAUUGCAUAUUGUGAUUCAAACAACAUUGAAUGUAUACCAAUUUGAAUUUGAAGAUUGAUGAAAAGUGAUAUCAAACAACAUCAAAAGAACAAAAUACAAAGAAAAAGCCAGACCAGCUUAAAUAUCACAUAUCGAUCCCAGCCCAUUAAAAACACCCACGAAUUAACCGCAAAGAACUCGCAACUAUGGCAAUCAAUUCAAUUCUUAAUCUUGUGUCGACGAUUUUUAUCUUAUUCAUGUUCGUUGCGUACAUAGCUUCGUUCAUCUGCGUAACGAUUCACAUGUAUAAAUUCAUCAGAAGUAAACCACCGCAGAGCUUGACGAUAAAAAAUCUCACCUUCUACACAUUUAUUUUAUUUUUAUACUACGUUCAUUAUUUCAUCAUGAUGAUCUACUUGAAAGUAAACAAAAAUGGCAUACUGGAACCGAUGUUAUAUGCCAUUAAAACUGAUCUAACGUUGAUAACCAUGUGUCUAAAAUUCAUUAUGGCAAUAGAUAUUUGCUUAUGUUUUCGAAAAAUCGCGCUGUAUCUACAAUCGUCUCCACAAUUCGAUACGAAAAAAUUUAUAAUUUAUUGUCUGACAGGUUCAUUACCACCUUCGUUACUUGUCAUUAUCACUAAUAUCACUAAAGUACUUUUCAAAUACGACGGUGAACCUAUUCUGAUUUGGGCUGGACUCGUCAUUCCUAUCAUACGCUUAGUUCCGAUUUUCUGUUCGAUUUGGUAUUUAAGAAAAAACACUGUAGACAGAAACGAGUUGUGGAAAAACUUCGCUCUGCAGAUGCGUCUUUUCGUACUGAUUGGAGGAUUUUCUUCGAUAAUCGACUUUUGCGAAAUGAUUUUCAUCGUAAUUACCAAUGUGUGGGGCUUUAGGGGCAUAGGAGGUGUAGAUAUACAUAACACUGUAAUAACGGUGAUGCAAUAUGGUAUUUUCGUGGAAGGAGUUGCCAUUGCUGUGGCAUUCACAUUCAAAGCAGAUACACUGAAACCUGUAGGUAGGAAACCUUCGUGUACGACGACGGAAACUUUCACAGUGAAUGUGAAAUGCUGAAAGUCGAGGAUUUGGGAUUCGAAACGAAUGGCAAAGAAAUCAAGGUGCUAAGUUGACCCAAGUGCAAAAAAUUUUUUAUAAUGUAUUAAAAAUGUCAGAGAGUUUGUUCGAAUAUGUCAAGUUUUUCAUUUACCUAUGUUAUAAGUCUUUUUCUUAUUGAAAUCAAUUCAUCUCAAUUAUCAUUAGAUUUGUAAUAAUGCUUUCAUUAUAUGUAAUAAUAAUUAUCAAAUAAAACUUUUUUUUUAUUUUGAGA